UGAAACCAUCCACGAAGGAUCAGAACCAUCCAAAUCGUGACCAGCAAAGGAACAACUAUAUCAUCCUGUUUUGAUCGAAACCUCUUCAUUAAGACAAACUGAAAUAAAACAAGCAGCAUUCAUGAGAAAGUGAGAUUGCGGUGGAUUCCUUCUCCAUCCUUGCAAGCAGCAAACAAUUGAGAUUCCCGUGUACGAGCCAGAGACGAUCUGACAGAUAAAAUUUAG
rnacentral:misc_RNA from 1 species